rnacentral:rRNA from 1 species
AUUGAACGCUGGCGGCAGGCCUAACACAUGCAAGUCGAGCGAGCGGCGGACGGGUGAGUAAUGUCUGGGAAACUGCCAGAUGGAGGGGGAUAACUACUAGAAACGGUAGCUAAUACCGCAUACUAUCAGCUGUGCCCAGGUGGGAUUAGCUAGUAGGUGUGGUAACGGCUCACCUAGGCGACGAUCCCUAGCUGGUCUGAGAGGAUGACCAGCCACACUGGAACUGAGACACUGUCCAGACUCCUCCGGUGGGCAGCAGUGGGGAAUAUUGCACAAUGGGCGCAAGCCGGAUGCAGCCAUGCCGCGUGUGUGAAGAAGGCCUUCGGGUUGUAAAGCACUUUCAGCGGGGAGGCGUUACCCACAGAAGAAGCACCGGCUAACUCCGUGCCAGCAGCCGCGGUAAUUC